AAUAUGGAUAAAAUUUGACGCUAAUACCAUAUUGGUUGUCCAAAACUGCUUCCAAUUAUUUUCCCGAACCUCUCUGCAACUCAAAGCGCCGCCGUUUUAACUCCCUGGCAUCUCUCGCGCAGUCCAUAGCUUCCUCAUUUCCUCCAUUGAAUCAAAGGUAGCACAGUUGCAAACUGUAAAGGAUCGAGCAGGUUAUUUGCUAGGUUUUUAGAUUAUUAUUAUUAUUAUUAUGGCUCUUUCAACUUCCAGAACCCUCUUGCGCUCUUUCGCCUCCUUAUCUCCCUUUGCCCGCUGCUCGAACUCUACUUCUUAUGGAGAUAGCUUAUGGUCCUCAGAGCCUCGGGCAAUUUUCAAAGGUGGGUCAUAUUUCCUUGCUCAAAGAAAGCUCUCAUCAACUUCUGUCCUAAGUCUUGGAUCAAUUGAAGGUGCAUUUCCUUGUGAGUUAAUGUCCACAAAACCUUUGGUGGUAUCAGAUAGAAAUAUAGCACUUCUUCAAGAAUGGAAAUUGGGAUUUCCAAGUCUUAGUCGUGCAUUAUACUGUUCUACUGCCGACUUCAAGAAGAAUGAGCUUCUGGAACUUCAGGAGGUUGAGAAGGUUUUGAGCGAUGUGAGAGCUGACAACGUCAAGGUUAUACCAGUUCAAAAGCACUGUGCUUGGGCUGAUUUCAUGGUGAUUGCCACGGGAAGGUCUACUUGGCAUGUUAAGAACAUUGCUCAAGCCCUAAUUUAUAAGGUUAAGCAGAAGCAGAAGGGGGCUCAGCGGUUAAUGCUCCCUAGUGUGGAAGGACAAGAGGGAGGAAAGUGGAUUGUCAUCGACUCUGUUUUUAAGAGUUAUGGUCAUUUGUUUAGGCAAAGUGGUAGUCCAUGCGCUUGAUGAGAAGGCUAGAGAUUACUAUAGUUUGGAGAGUCUCUGGACCACAGGGACUUCUGAAAAGGAACCAAUCCAGCUUGUGGAUCGCUGCUAACCCCUAGCCCCAAAGAUCAACGAAAGAGAUAUUAAAGACAAUCGUUUAUAAACCAAGGUUGGCGUGAUGAGCAACUGAGUUGGGAGGGUUUGAUGUGAGACAUUAGUGGCAAUUGGCUGCUUUCAUAGCGGAGCUCACCACAACAGCGGAAGUAAUCAUAUUUUGGAGGCUAAGGUAUUUAAGGUUGAGUGGGUUAUAUACGUGGAUGGAUCUUCAAAUGUUAAUAAAAGCGGAGUUGGAAUAUUGUUGAAGGGUCCAAAUGGAGACCUAACUCUAAAAGUUAUACAAAAUCUAUUUAUUAAAUUAAAGCUCACACAAUGUAAAAUAGUAAAAACUCCAUUUAUUCGAUUAGUUCGUUAUGCAUCUCUUAAUCAUAUCAAACAGUUAAAAAACCAACAUUGUGUUUAGGGAUAGUCACGACCACCUCCUCAGAUUAUGGCCACCGAGUAUACUAUGUACCAGCAGACCUUGAUCGGGUUUAAAGUCUUUCACCCAAGAGAGAGAACAAUCCUUACUUAUCAGUGACACAUUAAUUUUAUUCCAUAUUUAUAGUUUAAUAUUUGUUAGUUUA